UCAGAGCCAGGCCCGCGGCUGACAGCCCUCUGCGUCCCACUGGUGACCCACCGCGCCUGCUCUGCGUGCGCCUCCGCUAGCGGAGGCCCCCGGGAUAAGGCUGACAUAUCUCCUGGCUGGGUGAAGGGUACAUCAAAAGAGACUCUUCCUGAACCUCACCAAGCAGUAUGGUCUAAUUAUUCAGCUGUCGAGGUACCUCGCAGUGCCCCAAGACAUUGUUCCCAGACUGUCCUAUGGAGGGGUCCCAUGUCAUCUCCCUCUCCCUGUUGUAUCCAGUCCAUCUCCUGCAAAGAUGUGAAACUGAGAAAAUGUAGACACCCCCAGCUACCUUGCCUCCUUCAUCUACCCACCUUCGGCAAUGGCAGUGGCUGUGCAGAGAAAGCCCACGGUGACCAAUAUUGAGAGCAUUCCUGCGCUGGGACAGAUGCUGAAGGGGCUGAAGAUGUCUGAUGCCUUCAGACUUUAAGACAAACUGGAACUCUCAGGACUGGAAAAAAGGCGACACCUUUCAGGAUACUGAAUCUUCGAAAUGUUUGAACCCACACAGAGUCAGUGUGUAUAUAUAUAGCUUUGAUCCCAGAUGCUGUACCUGAAAGUAAUAUGAAGCUUUGUUUUGGUUUUACGAGAAAGGAAGUAGUGGGUUUGAUUAGUACGUGCACAGUUAACCUCAAACAGCAUGAACAAAAACAACUAUUCAGCAGAUGGAAAAUAUAUAUUCAAUCUGAAACUGCCAUCCCUUCUGCUUUAAGAAUUGGGGGAGGAAAGGCAAUCAUCCAAUAGAGCAGUUCAGGCCCUUUGGUGCUGCCAGCUUGCACAAUCAUUGCACUUAAUAUUUUAGCAAUCAUCAGGUAUUUCCUACUAGGACAACACACAGAGAGUUAUACUUCUGCCUAAUGUAGCACAGUGAACGGUGUGAGCUAGCUUUUUUUAUGGAGGACUUCCCUCCGCCCCCAAUUUCUUUGCUUCCUUUAAUGUUAGUGCUUUUGAUAUUUAAAAAUUGCUGCCCCUUCAAAAUACUGCAAUGAUUUUUCAUAUCAGCAAUGUGACUUGAAUCAUAACCCAGCUUCUUUAGGCUUUCCUGUUUCCAAGAAAAAAAUUAUCUAUCUAGGUUUAUAGCUAAUGACUUCCAUAUCUGUACAGGACUUUCCCUACCUAUGGACUUUACUGUAUAAGUACAUUGAGAUUAACAGAUGAAAAACACUGCAGGAGCUUUGAUUAUUGCUAUCUCUGCUUAGAGCACCUGCGUCAUUCCAAAAAUCAGUGAAAUAGUUUUCACCUACUGGCCUUUUAAAAGUCAUGUAAGGUCUGAAAAUCAUUUUGCUUUUUUUAUGUGAUAGACUGUCGUAUCCAUGAAUCAUUGCCUAAAGAAUUUAGUAAAAAUGAAGUUACACUUCAGUUACACUAAAGGUCAUCAUUCUUUUUUUUUCCCACACUUUGAGACUUCUUUUAGAAGGUGCUUUAUCAUUUAUAUAUGUAGAGCUGUUGGAUUGCAAAGACCUACUUUUGGACUGUGACCUAGAAAACCUAACAGCAUUAGUUCUUGAAGUAGCAGUAGCCUGUCCAAUCCAAACAUGCAGGGUAAAUAUUUGAUCUUGAAAUCACAUAAAUGCCUAAUGAUAUAAAUAAAUUUACAGCUUCCAUACUUAGGUGAUGCAACAAUUGUUUGUAAUGACAGAUUCAUAGUCAGUUUGAUCUUAACCAGCAUUCAAAACAGAACUGAAUAUAAAAAUAUGGCUAUGGGAAAAUGAAAAACUGCACCCUAAUAACCAGUCAGGGCCAUAUUGUAUUACUGGUUAGACAAGCUUAAAUCAAUUUUAAUAUUAAAUUUAGAAUUAAAUAAAUGCUAUUGCAACAUCAUGUACCAGAAUAUCAGUGAAAUUUAUGGCAUGAAAUUAACAGUUUAUGCCUGACAUUUUCAUAUCCAGAGUAGUAACCAAAUUACCUGUCCUAUAUAUCUUUUGGCCUUGGAUUUUGUAUGCAGUUAAACAAAUGAUGCAUUUGAGCCUCAUCAACCAUAAUGUCAUCUCCUGAUAAUUGAUUGAGACUGCAAAUUGAUGGUGCCAUUAAGCACUAAACACUUGCAAAGGAUUGCCAUGUAAAACUCCAUGCUUACUGCCCCAUGUAUCCACAGCAUCUUAUACAGCUGGAGUAAGAGGCAGAGCUCUGGUGCUGGUCUCUCUGGCAAUUGAGACUGCUCUGGCACACAUUGUGUUUCCAGUGGUACUCAUCUUAUUUCCUGGCUGUUUUGUUCUCAGUGUGCCUUUUCAGAUCCACCAUUUUUUACUUUUCACCCUUGUUCCUCAAAAGCCUAAUGUUAUGAUGACUGCUCUUCUAAGUAAGGCACAAUAUGUCUUCCUGUGGAUUCUCUUGAAGUCACCUCUGUCGUCACAGCCAAGGCAGCCUGAGGUCAGUCCAGAGUAUCCCUCUCCCAAAGGAUAGAGAUCCCCUUGCUGUGGUGCCCUCUAUCAUUGAUAGUCAGACUUUGGAUUUGAAUUAACGUAUGCAGAUAGCAGAUGGAUAACACAGUAAAACAUAGAUUUUGUUCCAAAUAAGAUCUCUCCUUCACUGCUCCCAUCCUUCCCAGCUCAGUUAUGGUAUGGAACAAGGUAUUCGUAACUGAAUGAGUUCCCCGCUAAAAUAAGAUCCACAGGAAUCGCUGGGGACAUGUUUUCUCUCCGUUGUGCCCCUCUUCUAACUACUCUUCAGCUGAUGAAAAGUCUCUGGGCUUCUGCUUGGUCCACUUUCUCUGUAUAUCACAGCCAUGCUUUGUGGCCUACAGCCAUAGGACCUGUCUUACCUAGUUACUGCACCUUCUUGUCUGUGUGGUCUGGUAUCUUCCUGCCCUGACUUCCUCAUCUUGAGAACUCUUUUUCUUCCCACCCUUUCCCCAUCACUGGAACCUGACACACAGCCAGGGACCAUGGUAAGGGAAUGGGUGAAAGAAAAGCCCUCCCUUUGACUUUGAGAUUCAGAAGGUCUUUCAGGAAGGAUAUUCCUCAGGCUGUCUCCAAAAGCUCAGUGUAAGAUAAAUCUUUCCUUUAAUGCACGUCUUUAUAGUAUAGUACUCUUUGUUCUUAGGGGUGAUAUUAAUCCCCAGGUCACAGGAAACCUUUAUACUUUACAUAUGUUGCCAUAGCAAAGUGUCAGAGCAAGGGAGGGGACUGAGAGACUUGCAGAGCUAAGCUGCAGAGCCUUAAACUGAGGAAUCAGCUUAGGAGUAGUUUGCAUCUCACAGCCUCUUUGAACUUAGCUCAGAGGGGGACACGCAAUUUACACUGAACACUGGACUACACUACUGUGAUUAGUCAGAUUGCUAGUAAAUUAAAUAACUAGGUUUCUCAUUUAAGUUUCUUUCUUAUUUUGGAUUAGUCGCUCACAUUUUAGUGAUUUGAAUUGCUUUUCUUUAUUGAAUGCUUGCUAGGGCAAACCUUGCUGCUGACACCCUGUCAGAAUUCCCAUUGCAAGAUGUUAUUAUUCACAAAAUUAUUUUCACCCUUUAAAGCCUGUCUCGUGCUGCCCAUGUUUUUUUCUUCUGUGACAGGAACUAGCUUGGUGAAUUGCUUGAGAUGUAAUGGGGAGAAGAGAAGCUUAUCAUUUGCAUAAGUAUCUGGUUUCAGGAUAUUUUGUUGAACUCAGAAUGUGAGAUCAUGUCUUAUUAUGUUAAACAGUUCACGUUUUUACCAUGUUAGUUUGCCACAAACCUAUUGGGGUUUUGAAAUGCACUGUCAUUUGAGAAAAAAAUCCGGACCUGUAAGUGGUAUGGCUGAAGAAAAAAAUCUUUUCUACAAAACAAUAGGUAAAGGGAAAAGGAAAUAACGCAGUGACUGGAAAAAUAUUGUUUCAUUACCAUUA